AGCUUCAAGAAUUAGAUCCCAUAAUAUUCUACAGACAUUUCAAGAGUCCAGUGAAGUUGAGCUACAGCAAAAAGUUCAGCAGCUCGAAAAGGAAAACACUAGACUUAAAAAUGAAAACCAAGAUCUUCGAAACCGUAUGGCUGAUGAGAUUCCAGACAUUUUGGAAAAUCUGAAAAAAAUUGUAACAAAAGCCACGUUUAUCAACGAUGAAGCCAAAAGAGUGUCACCAUGAAGUGGUUCUGACAGCCCCACACCAAACUGUUCUGACUCUGACAAAGAAGCACCAAAACAGGUGGAAAUAUUCCCAGGCACGGGAGUUUAUAUUGACAAACUGUCCAGGAUCCUUACAGAGAGGUGCAGCACGAAUACAUCAUAUGUAAGAACCCUGACGGUUGCUGUCUUUGACAUUCCAACAUUACUAAAGAGCAAUCUUCGUGGUGGUGGCAGCAAGAGAGAUCCAACUUCGGAGAAAAAGACACCUCUGGAGCGCUUAAAGGUGGAAGCCAUAUAUGGAAUGUAAAUGCUGUUGUACAAAAUUUCCAACUCUCCUUUUUAACUCUGUAGAACAAAAAGGGUUAGCAUUUCUAAUGUUCCUUUGGCCUUUGUUUUAGUUUCAGAGACUAGAGUUAAUUUAUUAAUAAAUAAUAAUACCUUACAUGUAGCAGCCGAAAAGAUCCCAAAGUGCUUUACAGACUCACUUCACCCACCGCUGAAGUGCAGCACCCUCUGGGGUGCAGCCAUUUUGUACCAGCAGAUUACUACACAGCAGUUAAGGUGGAGUCAUAAGAAAUUUGUUAGACCUGAUUGAGGAAAGCCUGACUUGGAAUUUAGCCACCUCACUCUUUCAACAACACCUUGUAAAUCACCUUGGAUUAAUGCUUCAGACAUAUGAAUACAUAAUAAU